rnacentral:rRNA from 1 species
GACGAACGCUGGCGGCGUGCUUAAUACAUGCAAGUCAACUUGACUUUAGAUAGCAAUAUCGAAAAGUAGGGUGGCGCACGGGUGCGUAACGCGUAGGUAAUCUGCCCUGAGGUCUGACAUAACCCGUCGAAAGGCGGGCUAACAUCAGAUGAUAUAUAAUCACGACAUCGUGGAAAUAUCAAAUCUUCGGAGCCUUGGGAUGAGCCUGCGUCUGAUUAGGUAGUUGGCGGAGUAAUAGCCCACCAAGCCUACGAUCAGUAGCUGGUCUGAGAGGAUGAUCAGCCACACUGGAACUGAGACACGGUCCAGACUCCUACGGGAGGCAGCAGUAAGGAAUAUUGCUCAAUGGGGGAAACCCUGAAGCAGCAACGCCGCGUGAAGGAUGAAAUACUUUUGUAUGUAAACUUCUGUAAGAUGGGAAAAAUAUUACUCCUCGGGAGAAUUGAUUGUACCAUCAGAGUAAGCCCCGGCUAACUACGUGCCAGCAG